rnacentral:ncRNA from 1 species
UAGGUAAAAAUAACAACUGAUUAGUGAUGUGCAGGAAUGGAGUGAGGAGAUUACUACCACUUCAAACUAUCUACUACCUAGUGAAACCACAGCCAAGGCAACGGGUUUGGCAGAAUCAGGGGGAAAAGAAGACCCUGUGGAGAUUGACUGUAAUCCCACGACUUAGUGAAGAGUCAUAGCGGUGGGUGUAGCAAAUAAUUGGCAACGUUGGGUUCAACAAUUGUCAAUGACAAUGAAAGACCGCUCCAACCAUUGUUGACACAAUAUACAUAUGGUGACUAUAUUGGCUGUGGAGCAUAUGCUCGUGUCGAUGUUGCUGCGUUCGCGUAGUUGGCAUCGGCGUUGGUGGUCUCGGUUGCGUCUAGUUACUUGUAGCCGGUUGUCCGUUGCUGCUCCUUUCAUGUGACGGUGGGUGGCUCCGGAUCGCUAUUAGGUACGAUUGCGACGUGCGACCACGAUGAUAUGAAAACAUUGCCAGGUGGGGAGUUGGACUGGGGCGGUACAUCUGUCAAAUCGUAACGCAGGUGACCCAAGGUGAGCUUAGCCAGGACAGAAACCUGGCGUAGAGUAAAAGGGCAAAAGUGUGAAAGAGUGGCCUAUAGAUCCAUUUGGUCAUUCGAUUUUCAGAGUUUGUAGCAAGAGGUGUCAGAAAAGUUACCACAGGGAUAGCAGGCGACGUCGCCUUUUAUCCUCAAUGUCGGCGCUUCUUCCUACCAUUAUAAAGAAGAAUUCACCAAGCGUUGGUUUGUUCACCCACUAACAGGGAACGUGAGUUGGGCUUACACCGUCGUAAGAAACAAUAUUGUGUUACCAGUGAGUACAAUCUGGUCGUUUCUACGAAAAUCCUGUUUACUAGGAGAGGAACCGCAGGUACUGACAUUUGGUAAAUGAGCCUGGUCGCGAUCGGCCAAUAGUACGAAGCUACCAUCUGAGGGUUCACGACUGAACGCCUCUAAGACUGAAUUCCACCCAAAGACGACGCCAUGAUGCACUCCUACGGCCUGCCACAUGGAUUUGCAACCGUUACACUUUCAUCCACGAGAGUUGGGACGGGCCAGCCAGCUUUCCUCGCCAACUUCUGAUUGUUCUGACAACAGCAAUGGUAAGCCAGAGCGUUAACCAUAGCCAUGUGCAUCGAACCGCAAUGAUGUUGCGGCAUGGAGAUUGAUACGAUAUCCAAUUGUAAAAUGAACGUUGGGGGCACAAAAUCGUUUGUAGCGGACUAGAUUUUUUGCCGGGGAGAGAUGAGUAUUGGAUCAGCUAUCAGAUUCCGAGGUAUUGAGUCCUAUCCCUUCUAGACGUAUGGAUUU